rnacentral:lncRNA from 1 species
ACAUUCAUUACAUGCAAUUACGACCCACCAGGCAACUAUGUUGGUGAAAAGCCAUACUAAGUGUUUCACUUUAAGCUAUAUAGAAACCAUACCAUAUGAUGGAUAAAUAAAUAAAUAAAUUGCAGGGUAAACGUAUGUACGUAAUGAGUUCUUGACUCAUUAUAUGAUAUUUCUCAAAUUGUUAUUGUAUAAUAAUAAUAAUAUAAUGUUCAUUAUGUGAGUUUCUCAUAUAUAUAUAUAUAUAUAUAUAUAUAUAUAUAUAUAUAUAUAUAUAUAUAUAUAUAUAUAUAUAACUUCCAAGUUAAUACCAUCGUCUGUCUUAAAAAUUACUCUUGUAUUCCCUCACUUUUCUUCCCUCUCGCUCCUUUAAGAGAUCAUGGAAUAAACAAAUCUAUCAAUGUUUAUAACACUAUUUUUAUUUUGCAUAUAGAAAAUGAUAUUUCAAAGUUUUAUAAUAAAUUAUAGUAGUUUUUGGUAAAAAAAGAAAUUGAUAAUUGUUGUUCUUGAAAUAUCCGUAUACAUAUCUUCUGAUGAUAUUGUAUUAUCGAUAUUCAUUCCUCUUUAAUUUUUAAUUUUAAGAUAAUUUUCCAUAAAAAAAUUCAGUUUUUAAAUUAAGUAACCUUAAGCUUAAAAUUAUCUCUAGGAAAAUUAUCUUUAGCUAAGCUUAAUGAGGUCACUAAUAACCUUAAGGCUCAUAGGAUUUUAGAGGUCAUACGACAACCUCCUUUGUUUAACUGGAUCAAAUCUAAUACAGAUGACACAUCCUUAGGUUCUCUUGGCCCUUCUGUUUGUGCUGGAAAGAGGAAAUUUAAGGUUGUUUUGGUUUGAAUCUUUGUCAAUCUUAUGCUCUUUUUGCUGAGCUUAUGGGAGUGAUUCUUGCAAUUGAGUUCGCUUAUUAAGGAAACAUGAAUUACCUCUAGGUGGACACAAAUUCUAAGAUUGCUUCAUUGGCAAUCAAAGUCUCAUUUGUUAGUUCCUUGGCAGAUGAGGGUCAGAUAGAAUAAUUGCUUACAAAUGAUAAAAAAACUUGAAUCUUAUGAUUUCUUACAUUUACAGAUAGGGAAAUCACUGUGCUGACAAGUUAGUUAAUCUAAGCUUAUCAAUUAGUAAUUUUACUUGAUGGAGCAAUACACCUAUUGGAAUUUUGGAUGACCUGGCUAAAAGUAAACUUGGUCUCCAUUUUUAUAGAUUUUGUUAACCUUGAGGGUUAGGUUUUGUCCCCCCUAAUUUGUAUUCCACUUUUCUUUAGGGUUGAUCUCUAUGCCUUAUAGGCUCAACUUUUGCUCUAAAAAAAUCUACAUAAUGAAUUGCGGUAGAAAAGAGGCAAUGGGAUUAAGACGUCUGAAUAUUUGUGUCCAACUUUUGCUUUUUUAUGUGACAUUUCCUUUUUGCUGAAUAGUCCAUAUUGAGCAAGAAGAAUAAUGGUACAUCCGUUCCUAAAUAUAAAAUUCUCGUAAGUAUUUUAUUUUUGAGGAGUGUUAUUUAAACAACCAAUUUGAUGAAAACUUAUUUGACAACCAUAACUUACAAAGAAAAAGGUAGUAUUGACACGGAAACAUAGCAAUAGAGAGAUAAAGUUAAAAAUAAUAUGAAUAUGAGAAAGAAAGUUGUCACAAAAGUUGUAUCAAAUGGAUGUUCAAAUAUCAUUUCUCUUUAUUUUUUUAUGGUCAAGUCUCUUAAGUAUUUUUUUUUUCUUAUCCCUUUUUAUAGAUCUCUUUUAAAUUUUAAAUUUUUGUUGAAUAGUACAUAUUGUAGCUUGAUUUCUUAAUCACUCUACACAGAAAGUUAAACUCUCGAGUUGGUUCCCUUUAAUCUAAUCCACCUUAAUAAAAACUACGUUAAAAUUGGUGGAAAUUAGGAGCCAAGUUUUUCUAUUCAUGGACGCAAUUUCAUUUGAAAAUUCUAUAAUCUAGGCUGCUGGUCCUUAUUAUUGAAAAAAAUUCAAGUCUCACAUCAGAUGGAUAAGACUCUUGAUAAAAGUUUAUAAAGAGAAGACAUUCCUCAUCUUACAAACCAAUUUUGUGAGAAUGAGGUAUGCCCCAAUUUCAACAUGGUAUCAGAGACUCUCUAAGAUUCAUUGAGUCACUUGCUAUUAUGUUUCUGCUAUUGACUCGUCCACCAUUUAUGUCCACGAACCAAGCUCAAUAGUGAUGAUCAUGAGAGCGUGUGUUAAAGAGUCCUGCAUCGAACAAAAGAAAUAUAUGAACAUGUGUUUAUAAGUGGGAGCAAUCCUUUCCUCACAAGCCGAUCCAACCAGGAUUCCAAGAUGGUAUCAGAGCUUGUUGAAUUCAAGCGCCACCUACCUAUCCACACACCAAGCCCAAAGAGUGUUGGGCGUGAGGGGUGUGUUGUGAAAAAUCCAAGUCCAAGUCCAAUGAUAGAUAAGACUCAUGAUAAGAGUUUAUAAAGAGGAGAUAUUCCUGAACUUUUUUUUUUUGAAGGAAGGAGACAAUCCUCACCUUAUAAGUUGGUUUUGUGAAAACAAAAUCUAUAAAUUAAAUACAUCCCGAACUUAUAGGUGUUAUGACAUCAAUUGGAAUUACUUUUUCUCAAGUUUGCUAUAAUUUAUUGGUAUCAUCAAUGUACCCAUUCUCGAUAGAAAGGAAAAAAAAAAAAGAGCAGUGUUAUGUUAUAUGGCACGCCUUCAAUGCCAACAAAGUGACCAGUGAUGGUGAGUUAUUUUUGUGGUCCACCGGUGGUCCUUUUGAUUUAAGGUUCGUAUUAGGAGCUCCUUUUUCUCGGUUUUAAAAAUUAAGUAUUAUUAUUUUCUCAAAAAUUAAAAUCAAGUAUGGAUGAUCUUUUUUUUUUUUACAUGAGAAAAAGAGAAAAAGAAAAGAAAACAAAAAAGAGGGAAAAAACUAGGUCUUCAGAAAGGACACACCUAAGGUAUCACGCAUUAAAGUAGAUGAUAAACAAGAGGGAGACUCAUUGACCAUGACAAGAUGGUAUGAACUAUUAGCUCCCAACUUAGUGAGAACAUCUGCACAUAAAUUUUCUUCUCGAGGGAUAUGAGUAACAGUAAGUUUCCAAUCCUUAGCAAAAUAGUUUUGGAUGAGUUCCAAGAUAUUUGCAUAGUGAUGGAAAUGUGAAAUCUCCUUCGACACCAAUUACACCACAUGAAGAUAGUCAGAGUAACACAUAAGUUUUUUUUGGUCCGCUUCCUAACAGAAGUAUGGCUGACCUAUUAAAUUUUAUAGUAACAAAUCAAGACAGAUUUGUUUUUUUAUAUAAGACAUUUCCCUUAUGUUGAAUAAUCCAUAACAAUGAACACGAAAAAAAUGCAAUUACUUAAUCAAUCAAAACUAAAAGUUAAAUAUGUAACUUAAUCUACCGUAACAAUUACGUUACAAGUGGGGAGCAGCCAAAUUUAAUUUGUUUGGUCAUGGAAGAAAAUUUCAUGGUGGAAAAAUCUAUUACCCUUAGCAAUUGUCUAUCUUACAUAAUAACCUUCUCUCUCACUCUCUCUCUCUCUCUCUCUCUCUCUCUCUCUCUCUACAAGAAGAAUAAUCUUCACAAUUACAAAAUUUUCAUGUAAAAAAGUCCCUAUAAAUACACAUGAGCCCUAACAUUUUUUUUUAUCAAAUACCUACCAUACCAUUUAUAUCUAGCCAUAAUAUUAACAAAAAUGAGUUCAUUUUCUCUACUGUGUUUCUUGGGCUUAUUACUCAUUAUUGGUCAUGUUGCACAUGCCCAAGACUCACAAGCAGACUAUGUGAACGCUCACAACGAAGCAAGAUCUGAGGUUGGUGUUGCAAAUAUUGUUUGGGACAAUACUGUUGCUAGUUUUGCUCAAGACUAAGCUAAUCAACACAAGGGUGAUUGUCAACUGAUCCACUCCGGUGGCCGUUACGGGGAGAAUCUCGCGGGUAGCACCGGAGACUUAAGUGGCUCAGAUGCAGUGAAGUUGUGGGUGAAUGAGAAAGCUGACUAUGAUUAUAAUAGUAACACAUGUGCUUCUGGUAAAGUGUGUGGCCAUUAUACCCAGGUUGUUUGGAGAAACUCACAACGUGUUGGAUGUGCCAAAGUGAGAUGUGAUAAUAAUAGAGGAACAUUCAUUACAUGCAAUUACGACCCACCAGGCAACUUUGGUGAAAAGCCAUACUAAGUGUUUCACUUUAAGCUAUAUAGAAACCAUACCAUAUGAUGGAUAAAUAAAUAAAUAAAUGGCAGGGUAAACGUACGUACGUAAUGAGUUCCUGACUCAUUAUAUUUAUAGUUAUCAUAUGAUAUUUCUCAUAUUAUUGGAGUAUAAUAAAAUAAUGUUCAUGUGAGUUUGUCAUAUAUAUGUAUAACUUCCAACCUAAUACCAUUGCUCUUAAAAACUGUGGUAUUUUAUAAGUGAAAUCACUCUUGUAUUCCCUCACUCUUCU